AUGACAGUGCAGGGGAUAACAGAAGCCACCACAAGAAGCCAUCACAGACAGGGGAUUAUUUAGAUGGCUGUGGAAGGAAGGAUCUUCUUUGGCCCAACAUUUUCUUUUUCCCAUGUACUGUGUCAUUUGAUCUAAACCAGCUCUCAGGAGGGUUUCAUUCAAGUAACAGGCUCAGGAGGGAGAGUGGUUUGGGCCAGAUUCAGGUCCCAGCGUUCAGCUGUGUUAGCCCCCCUGGGUCUCUAGCUGCAUGCCCAUCUUACUAACAGAACACUACCUUCAAUAUGGACUGCUCCUUCAUUCCCACAUCAGAACAGGACCACCGCAGGGUAGAGGGGUCCUUGGGACCCCUUUUGACUAAUCUUGCAUUUUAGAGGCAUGGUGACUUAUUUUACUUGUUCAAAACAUUUUAUUAUCAUUU
rnacentral:lncRNA from 1 species